GAAACAUCUAAGUACCCCGAGGAAAAGAAAUCAACCGAGAUUCCCCCAGUAGCGGCGAGCGAACGGGGAGGAGCCCAGAGCCUGAAUCAGUGUGUGUGUUAGUGGAAGCGUCUGGAAAGGCGCGCGAUACAGGGUGACAGCCCCGUACACAAAAAUGCACAUGCUGUGAGCUCGAUGAGUAGGGCGGGACACGUGGUAUCCUGUCUGAAUAUGGGGGGACCAUCCUCCAAGGCUAAAUACUCCUGACUGACCGAUAGUGAACCAGUACCGUGAGGGAAAGGCGAAAAGAACCCCGGCGAGGGGAGUGAAAAAGAACCUGAAACCGUGUACGUACAAGCAGUGGGAGCACGCUUAGGCGUGUGACUGCGUACCUUUUGUAUAAUGGGUCAGCGACUUAUAUUCUGUAGCAAGGUUAACCGAAUAGGGGAGCCGAAGGGAAACCGAGUCUUAACUGGGCGUUAAGUUGCAGGGUAUAGACCCGAAACCCGGUGAUCUAGCCAUGGGCAGGUUGAAGGUUGGGUAACACUAACUGGAGGACCGAACCGACUAAUGUUGAAAAAUUAGCGGAUGACUUGUGGCUGGGGGUGAAAGGCCAAUCAAACCGGGAGAUAGCUGGUUCUCCCCGAAAGCUAUUUAGGUAGCGCCUCGUGAAUUCAUCUCCGGGGGUAGAGCACUGUUUCGGCAAGGGGGUCAUCCCGACUUACCAACCCGAUGCAAACUGCGAAUACCGGAGAAUGUUAUCACGGGAGACACACGGCGGGUGCUAACGUCCGUCGUGAAGAGGGAAACAACCCAGACCGCCAGCUAAGGUCCCAAAGUCAUGGUUAAGUGGGAAACGAUGUGGGAAGGCCCAGACAGCCAGGAUGUUGGCUUAGAAGCAGCCAUCAUUUAAAGAAAGCGUAAUAGCUCACUGGUCGAGUCGGCCUGCGCGGAAGAUGUAACGGGGCUAAACCAUGCACCGAAGCUGCGGCAGCGACGCUUAUGCGUUGUUGGGUA
rnacentral:rRNA from 1 species